rnacentral:rRNA from 1 species
UACCAUUUGGAAACAGAUGCUAAUAACCGGAUAAAAAGCUACUUUCGCAUGAAAGAAAGUUUAAAAAGGCGGCGUAAGCUGUCGCUAAAGGAUGGACCUGCGAUGCAUUAGCUAGUUGGUAAGGUAACGGCUUACCAAGGCGAUGAUGCAUAGCCGAGUUGAGAGACUGAUCGGCCACAUUGGGACUGAGACACGGCCCAAACUCCUACGGGAGGCAGCAGUAGGGAAUCUUCCACAAUGGACGCAAGUCUGAUGGAGCAACGCCGCGUGAGUGAAGAAGGUUUUCGGAUCGUAAAGCCCUGUUGUUGGUGAAGAAGGAUAGAGGUAGUAACUGGCCUUUAUUUGACGGUAAUCAACCAGAAAGUCACGGCUAACUACGUGCCAGCAGCCGCGGUAAAU